rnacentral:rRNA from 1 species
UACGUAGGGUGCAAGCGUUGUCCGGAAUUAUUGGGCGUAAAGAGCUCGUAGGCGGUUUGUCGCGUCUGCUGUGAAAACUCAGGGCUUAACUCUGAGCUUGCAGUGGGUACGGGCAGACUAGAGUGCGGUAGGGGAGACUGGAAUUCCUGGUGUAGCGGUGAAAUGCGCAGUUAUCAGGAGGAACACCGGUGGCGAAGGCGGCUCUCUGGGACGGUACUGACGCUGAGACGCGAAAGCGUGGGGAGCGAACAGG